UACAGAGGUCCCGAGCGUUGUUCGGAUUCACUGGGCGUAAAGGGCGCGUAGGUGGCGCGGUAAGUCGGGUGUGAAAUCUCGGAGCUUAACUCCGAAACUGCAUUCGAUACUGCCGUGCUUGAGGACUGGAGAGGAGACUGGAAUUUACGGUGUAGCGGUGAAAUGCGUAGAUAUCGUAAGGAAGACCAGUGGCGAAGGCGGGUCUCUGGACAGUUCCUGACGCUGAGGCACGAAGGUCAGGGGAGCAAACGGG
rnacentral:rRNA from 1 species